CUACCUAACACUGUUGCUUCGGCGGGGAGCCCUCUCGGGGGCGAGCCGCCGGGGACUACUGAACUUCAUGCCUGAGAGUGAUGCAGUCUGAGUCUGAAUAUAAAAUCAGUCAAAACUUUCAACAAUGGAUCUCUUGGUUCCGGCAUCGAUGAAGAACGCAGCGAACUGCGAUAAGUAAUGUGAAUUGCAGAAUUCAGUGAAUCAUCGAGUCUUUGAACGCACAUUGCGCCCCCUGGCAUUCCGGGGGGCAUGCCUGUCCGAGCGUCAUUGCUGCCCAUCAAGCCCGGCUUGUGUGUUGGGUCGUCGUCCCCCCCGGGGGACGGGCCCGAAAGGCAGCGGCGGCACCGUGUCCGGUCCUCGAGCGUAUGGGGCUUUGUCACCCGCUCGAUUAGGGCCGGCCGGGCGCCAGCCGACGUCUCCAACCAUUUUCUUCAGGUUGACCUCGGAUCAGGUAGGGAUACCCGCUGAACUUAAGC
rnacentral:rRNA from 1 species